CCAUUUUGUUCUUUUUCGUUGUCUUUUCCUCUUUAUCACUAUUGCAACAACAGUAGCCAUCAUGUAUACAUCAUUUCGCUGAAUUACGCUCAUAUUCAAAUUGAUCACACCAUCCACUGUUAAAACUGACACUGCACUGACAAGUAAAUCUGAACCGUGUAUUUCAAAAAUCAUUUCACAUUUGCUCUUUUCUGAAUUUAUUCUAGUUUUAUUGCAACUAAUGUUCCAACCAAUGCAUCCCUUGCAAUGAAAAUUUUGGUUACAGGGUGUCUGAACUAUGAUGCCAACAUUAGUUUUUUAUUUGAUUUCUUAGAAAAUAGACUGGAUGAAAAGGACUGAUUGAGUGGCUACCAGGGUCACCGGAUAUAGCCCGAUUAGAUUUUUUUAUGGAGCUAUUUGAAGUCCACAGUUUAUGUGAAUAGACCAAAUAAUGUUGAUGAUUUAAGGCGAAGAAAUCGAUAAGAAAUUAAACUAAUCGAUCUGCAAGUAAUUGAAAAUGUGCAAUUAGAAGAUAUUUACCAAUUUCAAAAAUGCAUUGAAGUAAAUGAACAACAAAUUGAACAUUAGUUGCAAUGAAUAUUGUAUAAAUUUUUUAUUUUUUAAUGUCGUAUGUUUCAUUAGGCUAUUACGUCAAAUUUGACAAACCGCUUACUUUAGGCAUGGUAUGCUAUAUAAAAGUAUUCAGAAUAUUUCCUAGAAUUGUAAAAUAUCAUGAUAUACAAGGAGUUUUAUUAAAAAAAAUUAUUGCUGA